ACUCAAAGGAAUAGACGGGGACCCGCACAAGCAGCGGAGCGUGUGGUUUAAUUCGAUGCAACGCGCAGCACCUUACCAGGGUUUGACAUGCUUUCGCACCGUCCGUCAUGGGGCGUCCGGCGCAAGUCGGCGGAAGCACAGAUGCUGCAUGGCUGUCGUCAGCUCGUGUCGUGAGAUGUUGGGUUCAGUCCCGCAACGAGCGCAACCCCUGCCGUGAGUUACCUUUCUCUCACGGAACUGCCGUGCAGAACACGGAGGAAGGCGGGGAUGACGUCAAGUCAGCACGGCUCUGACAUCUUGGGCAACACACACGCUACAAUGGCCACCACAACGGGCUUGCCAACCGGCGACGGGGCGCUAAUCCCAGCAAAGGUGGUCUCAGUUCAGAUUGCAGGCUGCAACUCGCCUGCAUGAAGUCGGAGUUGCUAGUAACCGUGGGUCAGCAUACUACGGUGAAUCCGUUCCCGGGUCUUGUACACACCGCCCGU
rnacentral:rRNA from 1 species